UCCGCUUUUUAGCGGGGGCCGCCGUGUGAACGAAUCCGAAAAUCAUAUAUCUGUUCUGUGUAGAUCCGCAGAUGUUAUACAAUAUGCCGGAGUAGUAGCAAUCUGACCCAUUCAAAGGUCAAGCCGAUACGCGCUAAUCUGACUUCCGAUCCAAGUGCAAACUCCCCAUCUUCCACCUCCUCCUCCUCCUCCUCUUUCCCUGUUAUCACUUUUCACUAGCUAGUGGAACAGCAAAAACAUAUUAGAAAAGUACAAAAUACAAAUUACAAAAUGGGUUGCAUGCGCUAUUUGACGGAGGCUCAUUUGAGGGGCUUCGAGCGUUACAAGUACAGCAGUAUAGACACGAGUUUCCUCAGUGUCUAUGUGAUGCACCCGUUCUGGAACUACUGUGUGAAGGUAAGUUAUAAAUACCCAUUACCAUUUAUACAUUUUAAGUCACAUUACAUAUUCCAGUUUGUUCCCAAAUGGCUGGCGCCCAACGUUCUCACCUUCGUGGGAUUCCUGAUGACUGUCGUCAACUUUAUCCUGAUAGCUUACUAUGACUGGGGCUUUAAAGCAGCUAAUCCACCGACGGGCAACACGGUGCCUUCUUGGGUGUGGACAGUGGCGGCCAUAAACAUUUUGAUUUACUAUAACUUGGAUGGCAUGGAUGGCAAGCAGGCUCGAAGAACUGGAACGAGUGGACCUUUGGGAGAGCUAUUCGAUCAUGGCUUGGACUCCUAUUCAGCUGCUCUGAUACCCAUUUACCUGUUCUCCCUGUUCGGCACAGACGAUUUGCCCCCAAUUCGUAUGUUCUUUGUGAUCUGGAACGUCUUUCUCAACUUUUAUUUAACGCAUGUGGAGAAGUACAACACUGGAGUUAUGUUUUUGCCCUGGGGUUAUGACUUUACCAUGUGGGGAGUUAGUGGAAUGCUAUUUUUGGCAACUGUCUUUGGACCUGGAAUCUAUCGGUUUGACUUUUACGGCUUUACAGUGGCCAAUAUGUUUGAGGUGGUUCUUAUUGGUUCGGGCAUGGUCAGCAGUCAUCCGAUUAUUGCUAGAAAUAUCUAUCUUUCCUAUAAAAACAAGACGGGAAAAAUGCGUCCUAUGUGGGAGAUGCUGCGUCCAUUUUUCGCGUUCGUCUGGCUUUUUGUGAUCACUCUUAUCUGGUCGUUCUUUUCUCGAAAUAAUGUCAUCAAUCUGGAGCCUCGUAUUCUAUGGAUACUCUAUGGCACGAUAUUCUCAAAUAUUGCUUGCCGAUUGAUUGUGGCCCAAAUGUCGGACAUGCGUUGCGAUGCCUUCAAUGUGCUCAUGUGGCCACUGGCCGCCACAGUGGGUGUCUGCUGCUUUCCCUAUUACCAGGAGGUCUUCGACACAGAUCUUUCGGCGGAUGUGGAAAAAUGGAUAGUCCAGGGACUCACCAUUUUCUCAACAUUAGCCCACUGGCACUACGGCUACGGUGUGGUAUCGGAGAUGUGCGACCACUUCAACAUUCGCUGCUUCAAAGUAAGACAAUCUAGCGGCCAAUCGGUCUCAGAUUCAACUCAACCACUUCUACAGAACAAUAACAAAUUCAAAACGUUGAAAAGCCAUUGAAAUCGCCCACUAACCAAAAUCACAUCAAACAAAAACGGGGACAACCAAAAAUCAACCAUCUUGUGAUAUAAAGUAUAUAUAUAUUAUAUAUAAAUGGGUUCCAAAAAACAUUUAGCCCUCGCCUAAUGUCUAGGUUCUAAGUGGUCCAUACUCAAAUCAAAACACUAAAAACGAUACUCGCCCCACGCGGUUUCUAAUGUGAUCACGAAACCGGCUGUCACCGCUGAGGAUGAGCUGAAGGAGGUUGUUGAAGAGCCCAAGCCCACGGAA